rnacentral:tRNA from 1 species
UUAGUUCAGUUGGAUAGAGCUAACGGCUCAUAACAUUUGGUCGCUGGUUUGAGUCCAGCAAUAACCA